GCUAGGCGUGGUGGUGCACGCCUGUGGUCCCAGUUACUUGGGAGGCUGAGGUGGGGGGAUCACCUGAGCCCAGGAGGCAGAAGCUGCAGUGAGCUGAGAUCACAUCACUGCACUCUAGCCUGGGCAAUAGAGUGAGACCCCAUUUCAA
ensembl:misc_RNA Metazoa_SRP Metazoan signal recognition particle RNA